rnacentral:tRNA from 1 species
AAGGAUUUAAGUUAAACAAAAAACUCGGAGCCUUCAAAGCUUCAAAUAAAGUGUCUUUAAGCCUUA